AAGAGGUGCUAGCCCUCAGUUAUCUGCUACUGAGGACCUCUCAUACCUUUCCCCAAGCCUAUGUGGGCUCUGGCAUGGUAAGCAGGGUGCUCCCCCAUUCCUCCUUGUCUUCCUGAAGAGAUUGUGGAGAAGGAGAAUGGUGAGUGGGACUGUCCCUUGGUAAGGCACCCCUACCACCAGUUUGCAGGUUUAUUUGUCAUUGUGUUGUGCUGGCAGUGGAGAUGUGUGUGUUGGAGUGUUUGGAAAGGAUGAGAUUGCAGGAGGGGCUGUGGAGGGAAGACACAGCUGGGGAGAGUGGUGAUGGAGAGCCCGGGCCCUGAGCCACACUUUAUGCUGCUGGGGAAGUGGAGGCUAGUAUUGGUGGCAGCAAUCCAAGCCAGGUGGUGGGGGACGUGGGUGGAGGUGGUGUGUCAGGGUGUGAAGCAAAGUCCACCCAGAGAAACCUCUUGCUAGAGGCAGAGGUGGGAAGUCCCCGUGGGCUGUGGCCUGGGACCCGUGUUUCUUGGGCCUGACUUGUUGUCUUCUUUUGUGGUGGCUGUGGUGACUGUGCAGAGGAGCUCCGUGCCAAGUAUGGUGAGUUGCUGUGCUUGCCCACAAGCAUUCCCGAUGGGGGUAAGGCCUUGGGGAUGGUGAGGAGGGCUAUUCCAGCCAUGACAGGUGUUCCAAGUCAGCCUUUUGAGUAUGCCUGCAUGUUAUUGCCUCUUCUGUCAUAUUGAGUGCUGGUUCGGAGGAGAUGUUGUGUCCCAGCACUCCUCGUCUCCCAUGAGGAAUGUGGG
rnacentral:lncRNA from 7 species